rnacentral:rRNA from 1 species
AUUGAACGCUGGCGGCAGGCCUAACACAUGCAAGUCGAGCGAGCGGCGGACGGGUGAGUAAUGUAUGGGGACUGCCCGAUAGCGGGGGAUAACUACUGGAAACGGUGGCUAAUACCGCAAACCAGCGGAUAACCCUUGUGGGAUUAGCUAGUAGGUGGGGUAAAGGCUCACCUAGGCCACGAUCUCUAGCUGGUCUGAGAGGAUGAUCAGCCACACUGGGACUGAGACACGGCCCAGACUCCUACGGAGGCAGCAGUGGGGAAUAUUGCACAAUGGGCGCAAGCCUGACGCAGCAAUGCCGCGUGUAUGAAGAAGGCCUUAGGGUUGUAAAGUACUUUCAGCGGGGAGGCGUUACCUGAAGAAGAAGCACCGGCUAACUCCGUGCCAGCCGCCGAGGUAAUUC